CCUACGGGUGGCAGCAGUGAGGAAUAUUGGUCAAUGGACGAGAGUCUGAACCAGCCAAGUAGCGUGAAGGAUGACUGCCCUAUGGGUUGUAAACUUCUUUUAUAAAGGAAUAAAACGAGGCACGUAUGCCUUUUUGCAUGUACUUUAUGAAUAAGGAUCGGCUAACUCCGUGCCCGCAGCCGCGGUAAUCCGUAGGGGGCAAGCGUUCUCCGGAAUUACUGGGUGGAAAGGGAGCGUAGACGGUAAUGCAGUUCUGGAGUGAAAGGCGGGGGCCCACCCCCCGGACUGCUCUGGAAACUGUGUAACUGGAGUGCAGGAGAGGCAGGCGGAAUUCCUAGUGUAGCGGUGAAAUGCGUAGAUAUUAGGAGGAACACCAGUGGCGAAGGCGGCCUGCUGGACUGUAACUGACGUUGAGGCUCGAAAGCGUGGGGAGCAAACAGGAUUAGAUACCCCUGUAGGC
rnacentral:rRNA from 1 species